rnacentral:ncRNA from 2 species
GGUCACGAGUGCCAGCAAUGUCUUGACCAGACGCCUGCCCCGGCUUGCUGGACGGCAACCCUCCACCGCGGCGGGGUGCCCCGGGUGAAGACCUGGCCUCCACCAACCGGUAGAGGCAAGCGCGGGUC